GAAAAAAGUGCACAACGCAUGUCAUUACUCUAAAGAAGUUUUUAUAUUUGAUCUAACUCAAAAAAAUACAUUUUCUGUCCAGCCAUCAGUUUUAUGUAAAAAAUGUGUUUGAUUUAAAUUAAAAGUAAGUCCUGUUGGUGUAAAGUAAAUAAAUUUCUGUAAAUUAAAGUAAAAAUAUUAGUUUCCAUUGUCACGUGACUUACGUAACGUCAUCCUGGUCGUGCGUGAGGACGUUCAGCUGAAGUUCAGCUUUCCGCCAUCUUGUUAUACACUGCACCGAUGGAUGAACUCCGCGUCGUACAAUGGGAUUCAAGAAAAUUGGUAAGUAAUUUUAAACAUACGUUUUGGCGUAUUAUUAACAUUAUACAUGUGUGAUUGUACUGUUGUUUUACAUACGGUUAGUAUUACUUAGUGGUGUACCGGUCGGAUCGCAGUUGAUUGAGCAUGACGGUUCGGCUCACAUGCGAUUCGCGGAUUAAUGCGCAAAUUAAAAUAGGAAACGUUUAAUCAUUUGCACGUGUUUUAAAGGCUUGCAGAUGUUAAUACCAAAGUGAUUUUAAACAAUUUCACCGCAAAAAGGCGCUAAAGUGGGCAGUUUAUAUACGCAUGCGGAUGAAAGUGUCUAUAUGCCCUUCAAAGAUCAGAACUCUUGAUGUGUAAACUUUAGCGACAGUUUUUCUACUUUGCCUCAUACUGUAGUCGAUUAAAAUGCAUUUGGCCAAUAGAGCAAUGCGACUGUUUAUGCUGCAUCUCCUUCCGGAAGCGCUGUUUGAAAUUCGCGCUCCGUUUCUGUGUAAUAUUAUGCACUCAAAACUGCACACGUGGAGAGACGAGCAAACAUAAAAUCUUUCGGUUCUUGACAGGGUCCAUACAAACAAAAUGAUCUCCACAGUAUUCUUUUUUUUAAAUAAAAACUUUUGUUUAUGUCACAAGAUGUAGUGAACAUGUAAAUGUCUAGCAAUUAUCUAUUAUUUGUUCAAGCCAAUCAUAUCCCAUCCCUGGAGAGACAUCAGCAAACAUUAUGACAAAGACGUUUGCCUUACGCAGACAAGAGAUUGUGGAAAACCAACCUACUGUUCAAGAACUGCAAGAAAGAUUGCCAGAGGAGGUAAAAGCAUUUAUUUUAUUAUAAAAUGUUAAAAUGUGACUUGUACUGAAUUAACCAUAGUUUUUACCAUAGGAUGUAGUGCUUUUGAAAAUGUCUUAGAUGCUCUAAUUAUAUAUUCAUUCAAUGUUUUGUGUGUAUAUCUAUUUUACAACUAGUUCUAGAAAUAAUUUUUUCAGAAGUGUAUUUUCUGUUUCUCUUACUUUCAGAUUAAUGCAGAAUUGCGCAUCACGAUCUUACCUUGAAAAUAAAGAUUUAUGGCCUCUUUGGAAAGACAGAGCUCUCAUGUUAUUAGGAGCAAAGGUGGAGUCCUCCAUGAAAAACUAAGGACACUAUUAAAGUUAUGGAUCAGAGUCUGGACGUAGAAAUCAGAAGAGAAAGCCUGCUGAAGUGCCUGAUUCAUGUACUAUUCAUGUGAAGAUGCAAGCUGUCUGAUCAAAGAAUACCAGGCUGACAAGAGGGAAGAAGCGGAGAGGGAAUUCAAAAAGACCACCAUGGAAUUUUUUGUGAUCCGUGAAAGUGAUGCUCCUAAUCCUGCACUGGACAUUUUCAUUGAUGGUGUGGAGUAAUAAAUGAGUUGCCCUCUGUUGCAUGUGCAUGUUUGGACUCAUUUGAACUGAACUUAAAAUAUCCUGAUGGACUCAAAUAUACCUUUAAAGCCUUUCAAAAAAAAAUGUCAUGGACGUAGACAGUAAGCAGAUGAGCCGAAGGGUGCAGAACCCCUCUUCAAAACUGCAGGAGUAAAUUUGUUUCCUUUGACCCAGCUACUGAAGGUACAUUUUUGAGCCUUUUAUACAACAUUUAACUUUAAUACUGUUUACUAAACCUGAUUUGUUUUAUCUUGAUUAAGUUUUAUGGUUUAUCUAUCAACCAUAACUGAUUCUUAUUUAGAAUUUAUAUUUUAUCC